UACGGAGGGUGCAAGCGUUAUCCGGAUUCACUGGGUUUAAAGGGUGCGUAGGCGGGCAGGUAAGUCCGUGGUGAAAUCUCUGAGCUUAACUCAGAAACUGCCCAUUGAUACUAUCAGUCUUGAAUACCGUGGAGGUAAGCGGAAUAUGUCAUGUAGCGGUGAAAUGCUUAGAUAUGACAUAGAACACCAAUUGCGAAGGCAGCUUACUACCCGAAUAUUGACACUGAGGCACGAAAGCGUGGGGAUCAAACAGG
rnacentral:rRNA from 1 species